AAACUUUGCAAUAAGCGAAAGCUUGACAGGGCUAUCCCGAGUGCCAUCCGCUGAGGAAGGCUUUUACCCAGUCUAGAACGCUGGGGGAAUAAGGAGAGGGCAAGUCUGGUGUCAGCCGCCGCGGUAAUACCAGCUCUCCGAGUGGUGUGGAUGUUUAUUGGGCCUAAAGCAUCCGUAGCUGGCUAGGUCAGUCCCUUGUUAAAUCCACCGAAUUAAUCGUUGGAUUGCGGGGGAUACUGCUUGGCUAGGGGACGAGAGAGGCAGACGGUAUUUUCGGGGUAGGGGUGAAAUCCUAUAAUCCCGGGAAGACCACCAGUGGCGAAGGCUGUCUGCUAGAACGCGCCCGACGGUGAGGGAUGAAAGCUGGGGGAGCGAACCGGAUUAGAUACCCGGGUAGUCCCAGCUGUAAACGAUGCAGACUAGGUGUUUGGACGGCCACGUGCCGUUCUAGUGCCGCAGGGAGGCUGUUAAGUCUGCCGCCUGGGGAGUACGAUCGCAAGAUUGAAACUUAAAGGAAUUGGCGGGGGAGCAC
rnacentral:rRNA from 1 species